rnacentral:rRNA from 1 species
UACGUAGGCAGCAAGCGUUGUUCGGAAUUACUGGGCGUAAAGCGCGCGCAGGCGGUCUUCCAAGUCAGUGGUGAAAGCCCGGAGCUCAACUCCGGAACUGCCAUUGAAACUGUAAGACUUGAGGAUGAGAGAGGUGAGUGGAAUUCCCAGUGUAGAGGUGAAAUUCGUAGAUAUUCGCAAGAACACCAGUGGCGAAGGCGGCUCUCUGGGACGGUACUGACGCUGAGACGCGAAAGCGUGGGGGCAAACAGG